rnacentral:piRNA from 1 species
UAGCAAGAUCAGCCAUUCUUUUCUGGAAC